GUACUUACCUGGACUUCCAUUGCACAUUAUGGAAGGGUGCUUAGCCUAAGGUCUUCCCAUGUGGAAGAGCCUGCGUCAUUAUUUGUGGCAGCGGGGGCCUGCGUUACCUCUA
rnacentral:snRNA from 1 species